GAGUUUGAUCUUGGCUCAGAUUGAACGCUGGCGGAAUGCUUUACACAUGCAAGUCGAGCGGCAGCGCGGGGCAACCUGGCGGCGAGCGGCGAACGGGUGAGUAAUGCAUCGGAACAUGUCCAUGUCGUGGGGGAUAGCCCGGCGAAAGCCGGAUUAAUACCGCAUACGCCCGAGAGGGGAAAGUGGGGGACCGCAAGGCCUCACGCGAUUGGGUUGGCCGAUGUCCGAUUAGCUAGUUGGCGGGGUAAGAGCCCACCAAGGCGAUGAUCGGUAGCUGGUCUGAGAGGAUGAUCAGCCACACUGGGACUGAGACACGGCCCAGACUCCUACGGGAGGCAGCAGUGGGGAAUUUUGGACAAUGGGGGAAACCCUGAUCCAGCCAUUCCGCGUGAGUGAAGAAGGCCUCGGUUGUAA
rnacentral:rRNA from 1 species